rnacentral:rRNA from 1 species
AUUGAACGCUGGCGGCAGGCCUAACACAUGCAAGUCGAGCGGAUGAAGGGAGCCUGCUCCUGGAUUCAGCGGCGGACGGGUGAGUAAUGCCUAGGAAUCUGCCUGGUAGUGGGGGAUAACGUCCGGAAACGGGCGCUAAUACUGCAUACGUCCUGAGGGAGAAAGUGGGGGAUCUUCGGACCUCACGCUAUCAGAUGAGCCUAGGUCGGAUUAGCUAGUUGGUGGGGUAAAGGCCUACCAAGGCGGCGAUCCGUAACUGGUCUGAGAGGAUGAUCAGUCACACUGGAACUGAGACACGGUCCAGACUCCUACGGGAGGCAGCAGUGGGGAAUAUUGGACAAUGGGCGAAAGCCUGAUCCAGCCAUGCCGCGUGUGUGAAGAAGGUCUUCGGAUUGUAAAGCACUUUAAGUUGGGAGGAAGAGCAGUAAGUUAAUACCUUGCUGUUUUGACGUUACCAACAGAAUAAGCACCGGCUAACUUCGUG